rnacentral:rRNA from 1 species
AUACGUAGGGGGCAAGCGUUAUCCGGAUUUACUGGGUGUAAAGGGAGCGUAGACGGUUUGGCAAGUCUGAUGUGAAAGCCCGGGGCUCAACCGCGGGACUGCAUUGGAAACUGUCAGACUUGAGUGCAGGAGAGGUAAGUGGAAUUCCUAGUGUAGCGGUGAAAUGCGUAGAUAUUAGCAAGAACACCGGUGGCGAAGGCGGGAAACUAGCCUAUCAACGACACUGAGGAACGACAGCGAGGGGAGCGAAAGGUAUUAGAGACCCCUGUAGUCCUAGCCGUAAACGUUGCACGCUAGGUGUUGUGAUUUAACCCUAGCUCCGGAAGCUAACGCGUUAAGCGAGCCGCCUGGGGAGUACGGCCGCAAGGCUAAAACUCAAAGGAAUUGACGGGG